AGGGAAUCUUCCACAAUGGACGCAAGUCUGAUGGAGCAACGCCGCGUGAGUGAAGAAGGUUUUCGGACCGUAAAGCUCUGUUGUUGGUGAAGAAGGAUAGAGGUAGUAACUGGCCUUUAUUUGACGGUAAUCAACCAGAAAGUCACGGCUAACUACGUGCCAGCAGCCGCGGUAAUACGUAGGUGGCAAGCGUUGUCCGGAUUUAUUGGGCGUAAAGCGAGCGCAGGCGGAAGAAUAAGUCUGAUGUGAAAGCCCUCGGCUUAACCGAGGAAUUGCAUCGGAAACUGUUUUCUUGAGUGCAGAAGAGGAGAGUAGAACUCCAUGUGUAGCGGUGGAAUGCGUAGAUAUAUGGAAGAAUACCAGUGGCGAAGGCGGCUCUCUGGUCUGCAACUGACGCUGAGGCUCGAAAGCAUGGGUAGCGAACAGGAUUAGAUACCCUGGUAGUCCAUGCCGUAAAACGAUGAGUGCUAAGUGUUGGGAGGCUUCCGCCUCUCAGUGCUGCAGCUAACGCAUUAAGCACUCCGCCUGGGGGAGUACGACCGCAAGAUUGAAAC
rnacentral:rRNA from 1 species